rnacentral:rRNA from 1 species
CGGGUGAGUAACACGUGAGUGACCUGCCUUUUAGACUGGAACAACUUACCGAAAGGUGAGCUAAUGCCGGAUGAGUUAUAUAAGUGCAUGUUUAUAUAGGAAAAGUUGGGGAGGCCUGACGCUGAAAGAUGGACUCGCGUCCCAUUAGCUAGUUGGUAGGGUAAUGGCCUACCAAGGCGACGAUGGGUAGCCGGCCUGAGAGGGUGGCCGGCCACACUGGGACUGAGACACGGCCCAGACUCCUACGGGAGGCAGCAG